UGGGGGAUAUUGCACAAUGGGCGAAAGCCUGAUGCAGCGACGCCGCGUGGGGGAUGAAGGCCUUCGGGUUGUAAACUUCUUUUGCUCUGAACAAGGCGCACCAUGGGGUGUGUUGAGUGUAGGGGUUGAUUAGCGCCGGCUAACUACGUGCCAGCAGCCGCGGUAAUACGUAGGGCGCGAGCGUUGUCCGGAAUUAUUGGGCGUAAAGGGCUUGUAGGUGGCUGGUUGCGUCUGUCGUGAAAGCUCAUGGCUUAACUGUGGGUUUGCGGUGGGUACGGGCUGGCUUGAGUGCAGUAGGGGAGGCUGGAAUUCCUGGUGUAGCGGUGGAAUGCGCAGAUAUCAGGAGGAAUACCGGUGGCGAAGGCGGGUCUCUGGGCUGUGACUGACACUGAGGAGCGAAAGCAUGGGGGGCGAACAGG
rnacentral:rRNA from 1 species